UCACACCACUGGCUGACCUUUUGAAAAGAAACACAGCACCCUGUGUAGUCACCUGCCCACAGCUCAGUCACCACAAGCCUCAGGAGAUCUGAGCUCAUCUGGGCUUUACAAGGAUUCAAGGGCAGCAUCCCAGAAGGCACAGCUUUGUAACUCAGAUCUGCAAUACAUUCCAGAAUUCUGAUAUGAAAUCAGUCAUCACAGAGGUGCCUGAGCUCCACACACCUGGAUCUGAUGGAGUCCACUGCAGAGUGGUAGCUUUGGACGAGCUGCUCCCCAG